GAUAGCUUGCUAUUUAUGUCGGCGACCGGCGCACGGGUGAGUAACGCGUAUCCAACCUGCCCAUAACUAAGGGAUAACCCAGCGAAAGUUGGACUAAUACCUUAUGUAUUCGUUUGAUCUCAUGAGAUUACGAAUAAAGAUUUAUCGGUUAUGGAUGGGGAUGCGUCUGAUUAGCUUGUUGGCGGGGUAACGGCCCACCAAGGCAACGAUCAGUAGGGGUUCUGAGAGGAAGGUCCCCCACAUUGGAACUGAGACACGGUCCAAACUCCUACGGGAGGCAGCAGUGAGGAAUAUUGGUCAAUGGACGCAAGUCUGAACCAGCCAAGUAGCGUGCAGGAUGACGGCCCUAUGGGUUGUAAACUGCUUUUAUAUGGGGAUAAAGUGGGGAACGUGUUCCCUUUUGCAGGUACCAUAUGAAUAAGGACCGGCUAAUUCCGUGCCAGCAGCCGCGGUAAUACGGAAGGUUCGGGCGUUAUCCGGAUUUAUUGGGUUUAAAGGGAGCGUAGGCCGUUUGGUAAGCGUGUUGUGAAAUGUAGNAGCUCAACUUCUAGAUUGCAGCGCGAACUGUCAGACUUGAGUGCGCACAACGUAGGCGGAAUUCAUGGUGUAGCGGUGAAAUGCUUAGAUAUCAUGAAGAACUCCGAUUGCGAAGGCAGCUUACGGGAGCGCAACUGACGCUGAAGCUCGAA
rnacentral:rRNA from 1 species